CCUGUUCCCAUCCCGAACACAGUAGUUAAGCUCUUCAGCGCCGAUGGUAGUUGGGACUUUGUCCCUGCAAGAGUAGGACGCCGCCAGGC
rnacentral:rRNA from 1 species